UUUGGAGAAUGGGGGAAACCCUGAUCCAGCUAUCCCGCGUGUAUGAUGAUGGUCUUCGGGCUGUACAGUACUUUUGUCACAGAAGAAAUGGUAUCCCCUAAUACGGGAUACUGGUGACGGUAUCUGCAGAAUAAGCACCGGUUAACUACUUUCCAGCAGCAGCGGUAAUACGUAGGGUGCAAGCGUUAAUCGGAUUACCGGGCGUAAAGCGUGUGUAGGCGGUUCGGAAAGAAAGAUGUUAAAUCCCAAGGCUCAACCUUGGAACUGCAUUUUUAACUGCCGAGCUAGAGUAUGUCAGAGGGGGGUAGAAUUCCACGUGUAGCAGUGAAAUGCGUAGAUAUGUGGAGGAAUACCGAUGGCGAAGGCAGCCCCCUGGGAUAAUACUGACGCUCAGACACGAAAGCGUGGGGAGCAAACAGG
rnacentral:rRNA from 1 species